AACGGAAAAAUAAGAAUUACACACUUUCUGAACGCAGUGGCUCAUGGUGUCGAAAACAUUGUCAAUAGGCCACUGCCUCAGAAUGAGUGGUUCCUUCUUGAUAUUGCUGGAGAGGAUGAAGUGAUGUGAGAAGGUUGUCCGUAUCUCCAGAAGAGGUUGUAAAUAUUAGGUGGAUAGGAAAUAUUAUUAGGAUAGAUCUGUAAAUAUUAUAAUGUAUUAAUAUAUAAAUAAAUAAAUUGCAACUUGAAAAUUAUGAAGAA